GUUUGAAUAGCUUAAGUUUAAAGCAUUACAUUGAAGCUGUAAUUAUAGUAUUUAUACUUUCAAAUA
rnacentral:tRNA from 2 species